AUGACCUGGGAGCAUCCCAGGGGACAGGGGAAGGAUCUGGGAAUAUCCUAUGGGACAGGAAAAUGGCCUGGGAGCAUCCCAGGGGACAGGGGAAGGACUUGGGGACAUCCCAUGGGACAGGAAAAUGCCCUGGGAGCAUCCCAGGGGACAGAAAAAUGGCCUGGGAGCAUCCCAGGGGACAGGGGAAGGAUCUGGGAAUAUCCCAUGGGACAGGAAAAUGACCUGGGAGCAUCCCAUGGGACAGGGGAAGGAUCUGGGAAUAUCCUAUGGGACAGGAAAAUGGCCUGGGAGCAUCCCAGGGGACAGGGGAAGGAGCUGGGGACACCCCAAGGGACAGGGGAAGGAGCUGGGAGCAUCCUAUGGACUGGGAAAAGAAGGUGGGAGCAUCCCACGGGACAGGAAAAUUAUUUGGGAGCAUCCCGGGGGACAGGGGAAGGAUUAGGGGACACCCCAAGGGACAGGAAAAUGCCCUGGGAGCAUCCCAGGGGACAGGGGAAGGAGUUGGGGACACCCCAAGGGACAGGAAAAUGCCCUGGGAGCAUCCCAGGGGACAGGGGAAGGAGUUGGGGACACCCCAAGGGACAGGAAAAUGAUCUGGGAGCAUCCCAGGGGACAGGGGAAGGAUCUGGGGACAACCCAAAGGACAGGAAAAUGACCUGGGAGCAUCCCAGGGGACAGGGGAAGGACUUGGGAACAUCCCAGGGGACAGGGGAAGGAUCUGGGAAUAUCCUAUGGGACAGGAAAAUGGCCUGGGAGCAUUCCAGGGGACAGAGGAAGGAGGUGGGAACAUCCCACAGGACAGGAAAAUUAUUUGGGAGCAUCCCAGGGGACAGGGGAAGGAGGUGGGGACAUCCUAUGGGACAGGAAAAUGGCCUGGGAGCAACCCAGGGGACAAGGAAUAGACUUGGGAACAUCCCAGGGGACAGGAAAACUAUUUGGGAGCAUCCCAGGGGACAGGGGAAGGACUUGGGAACAUCCCAUGGGACAAGAAAAUGCCCUGGGAGCAUCCCAGGGGACAAGGGAAGGAGCUGGGGACACCCCAAGGGACAGCAGGGACAGCGCAGCCCCGUCCCAGAUGGCCUCACCAGCACGGAGCAGGAGGUGUUGUCCAGCAGGAAGAGCUCCUGUCCCACAGCCAGCAGCACCACGGUCACCCUGUCCUGGGCCAGCACAGCCCAGCACGUCGGUGGCUUCUGCAGCCCUGUGGGGACAGCGUGACACCCCCGGGACACAGGGGGACAGCGGGGACAGGAGAGCAGUGGGGGCAGAGGGACAGGCAGUGACAGGGGGACACACAGAGGGGGACUGCGGACAGAGGGCACUGAGGGGUGGUGGGACAAGGAGGGGACACACGGGACAAAGGGGCAGACAGUGGGGACAGAAAAGGACAGAGGGGGACAGGAGGGGACACGGGAACACCCACCAGGGACCUCGGGCAGGCGGCGCAGUUUGAGGUCGUCGAUGUUGGUGGCGAGGGAGAAGCGCAGCGCUCCCGUCAGGAUGGCCACGCCCGUGCCGAACUCCGUGUGGAAAACCUGCGCCUCCAGAACCCGGUUCUGCAGCACCUCCUGCGGGACACGGCCGCCAGGGGACACUGGGGACACUGGGGGACACUGGGGACACUGGGGACACUGGGAUUAUCGGGGACACCAGGGACACCGAUACUGCAGGGACACUGGGGACACUGGGGACACUGGGGAUACCGAGGACACCGGGGACACAAGGGAGACCAGGGACAUUGGGGACACCGGGGACACUGGGGGACACCAGGGACACCAGGGACACCAGGGGCAGCAGGGACACCAGGGGCAGCAGGGACACCAGGGACACCGGGGAUAACGGGGAGACCGGGGACACCAGGGACACUGGGGACACCGGGGAUACUGGGGACACUGGGGACACCAGGAACACCGGGGACACCGGGAACAUCAGGAACACUGGGGACACCGGGGACACCAAUACCGUGGGGACACUGGGGACACUGGGGGACACUGGGAACACUGGGGACACCGGGGACAAUGGGGACACUGGGGACAAUGGGGACACCGAUACCGCAGGGACACCAGGAACACUGGGGACACUGGACACCGGGGGACACUGGGGACACUGGGGGACACCAGGGACACCAGGGACACCGGGACACCAGGGACACCAGGAACACUGGGGGACACCAGGGACACUGGGGGACACUGGACACUGGGGGACACUGGGGACACCGGGGAGACCAGGAACACCAGGAACACCGGGGACACCAGGGACACCGGAGACACUGGGGACACCAUUACUGCAGGGACACUGGGGACACCGGGGACACCAGGAGCACUGGGGACACUGGGGACACCGGGGACACUGGGAACACUGGGGACACCAGGGACAUCGAUACUGCAGGGACACCGGGGACACUGGGGACACCGGGGACACUGAUACUGCAGGGACACCAGGGACACCGGGGGCACCAGGGACACCAGGGGAUACCGGGGAUACCGAGGACACUGGGGACACCGGGGACACCGGGGAGACUGGGGACACCAGGAACACUGGGGACACUGGGGACACCAGGAUUAUCGGGGACAGGUGAGGAGGGGCUGGGAUGGAAUUCCCAGAUUUGCUGUGGCUGCCCCUGGAUCCCUACAAGUGUCCAAGGCCAGGCUGGACAGGCUUGGAGCCACCUGGGAUGGUGGAAGGUGUCCCUGCCUGGGGUAGGGGUGGGGUGGGAUGGGCUGUGAGGUCCCUUCCCACCUGCCCCAUCCCAAACCCCAUCCCAAACCCCAUCCCAAAUCCCAUCCCAAAUCCCGUUCCCUCACGUUUCCCAUGCUGAAGUGCCGCUUGAACUCGCAGAACAGGUUGUAGACCAGGACAGUCCCAUCCUCCUGGAUGCACAGCAGGUCCUCCCCCGCCGUCCAGCCCAGGUGCACCAGGCUGCCGCUCUUCCACUGGGAAUGGCACGGGAAGGGUCAGCCCCGAGCCAGGGAUGGCCCUCCGGGGACACACCUGGGGUGGCUCAGGCCUGACAGCUGGUCCAGGGCUUGGACACCUCACCUGCAGGUCCAACACCUCACCUCCAGGUCCAGCACCUCACCUGGAGGUCCAAAAUCUCACCUGGAGGUCCAACACCUCACCUGGAGGUCCAGGACCUCACCUGCAGGUCCACCACCUCACCUGCAGGUCCAACACCUCACCUGGAGGUCCAACAUCUCACCUGGAGGUCCAGCACCUCACCUGGAGGUCCAACAUCUCAUCCAAAAGUCCAAAACCUCAUCCAGAGAACUGAUACCUCAUCUAGAAGUCCAACACCUCAUCCAGAGGUCCGACACCUCAUCCAGAGGUCCAACACCUCACCUAGAUGUCCAACACCUCAUCCAAAAGCCCAAAACCUCAUCCAGAGAAUUGACGCCUCAUCCAGAGGUCCAACACAUCAUCCAGAGCUCCAACACCCCAACUGGAGGUCCAAUACCUCAUCCAGAGGUCUAUCACCUCAUCCAGAGCUUGGACACCUCACCUGGAGGUCCAACACCUCACCUGGAGGUCUAACAUCUCACCUGCAGAUCCAGCACCUCACCUGCAGGUCCAACACCUCCCCUGGAGGUCCAACAUCUCAUCCAAAAGUCCAAAACCUCAUCCAGAGAACUGACACCUCAUCAGAGGUCCAACACCUCAUCCAGAGAACUGACACCUCAUCCAGAAGUCCAAAACUUCAUCCAGAGGUCCAACACCUCACCUAGAUGUCCAACACCUCAUCCAAAAGCCCAAAACCUCAUCCAGAGAACUGACACCUCAUCCAGAGGUCCAACACAUCAUCCAGAGCUCCAACACCCCAACUGGAGGUCCAAUAUCUCAUCCAGAGGUCUAUCACCUCAUCCAGAGCUUGGACACCUCACCUGGACAUCCAACACCUCAUCUAGAGGUCCAGCACCUCAUCCAGAGGUCCAGCAACUCAUCCAGAGAAGUGACACCCCAUCCAGAGGUCCAACACCCCAUCCAGAGGUCCAACACCCCACCUGCCCUGGCCCUGCAGGUCCCUGCAGUUCUGGCAUUGUCCCUCCACUGCCCCAUGUCCCCUCAGCCCAGGCAGGGGGGAAGGAGGAUGUUCCUGUGGCUCCAGUCCUCAUCCCAUCCUCCUGUCCCAUCCCUGGGCACCAGGGAAAGGAUUCUCCUGCUCCAAACCCAUCCCAUCUUCUCCUUCCAUCCCUCAUCAUCAGAGGAAGGAUUCUCCUGCUCCAAACCCAUCCCAUCUUCAUCAGAGGGAGGAUUCUCCUGCUCCAAACCCAUCCCACCUUCUCCUGGUUCCAUCCCUCAUCAUCAGAGGGAGGAUUCUCCUGCUCCAAACCCAUCCCAUCUUCUCCUUCCAUCCCCCAUCAUCAGAGGAAGGAUUCUCCUGCUCCAAACCCAUCCCAUGCUCUCCUUCCAUGCCAGGCCCCCUGUCCCAACCCCGGGGUGUCCGUCCCCCCCGGCUCACCGGGACACUGGCCAGGAGCAGCCCCGAGGCCGAGUAGAUCUCCAGGAGCGGGCGGGCACCGGGGGUCUUGUCCCGCCGGGAAUUCCUCAGCAGAGCUGGGACAAGGAGGGGACAGUCCCUGAGCCGUGGGUGGCACAGCCCCGGCUUGGGGAGGGGGGAUCGGGGGGCUUCACCCACCUAUGGGACCCCCGUAUGGGGCAGCGGCCACCACACAGUCCCGCAGGUCCUCCCGCAGCCCCCAUUCCAUGGAGUAGAGCUCCAACUUCCUGUGGGACAUGGAGAGAUGGAGCUUGGAGGGAUGGAUGGAUGGAUGAUGGAUGGAUGGAUGGAUGGAUGGAUGGAUGGAUGGAUGGAUGGAUGAUGGAUGAUGGAUGGAUGGAUGAUGGAUGAUGGAUGGAUGAUGGAUGGAUGGAUGGAUGGAUGGAUGAUGGAUGGAUGGAUGAUGGAUGAUGGAUGGAUGGAUGAUGGAUGGAUGGAUGGAUGGAUGGAUGAUGGAGGAUGGAUGGAUGGAUGGAUGGAUGGAUGGAUGGAUGAUGGAUGGAUGGAUGAUGGAUGGAUGGAUGAUGGAUGGAUGGAUGGAUGGAUGAUGGAUGGAUGGAUGGAUGGAUGGAUGGAUGGAUGGAUGACAAAUGGAUGCACAGACAUGCAGCAGGUGCAGGUCUGGCAGAGCCACAGACGAUGCCCGCCCCAAACCAGCCCUGGGACACCCCCGACAAACCCCUGGAGCCCUGAGAUCCACGGACACCCCAAGAACCCCCAUAGACACCAAGGGCUCCCCCAGACCACCCCGAGGAGCCGGGGCCACCUCAGAACCCCCCAGCAACCCACAGGACCCUCCUCCCAGCCAACCCCAAGACCACCCUGAGCCACUUUGACCAUCCCCAGGACCCCCUUCCCAGCCAUCCCCAAGAUCCAUG
rnacentral:lncRNA from 1 species